AAGCUGUAUUCUGGUAAUGAUUGCAAUAAAAGCAGAUGCUUCAUGAAGUUCAUGGGGAACAAGACAAAAGGGGGCACGCUUGGUUUCCAAGAUUGGAGAAGAUGUACAGUGCCCAGUAGGCAUACGGGUCCCAUUCGUAACUGUGGUGUUUUUAAAAUAAAAAUUUAUUUGAAUUUAUGUUUUCUUUUUUUUCUUUUUUUAAGGCUGCCAAGUUAUGGGGAUACAAUUUUUUGUUGUGUGGAUCUCAGUACUUAAACUGAACCUAACAAGGACUUCUUUUGACCCAGGGAGCUUCUGCAUUACGUAGGAUGGUGUGCCUGAGGGUACCAGGGUGGCGCUUGCUCAGACCUGGCUGCUUUAUUUUAAUACCUUUUUAAAAAACAGCAAUAUUUAUUUUACUCUCAGAUAUAAAAGGAAACUCCUCAUAAAUGACUAUGGAAGAGAGAGAAAAUCAUCAUCAGGAAGUUCUGAUUCAAAGGAGUCUAUGUCUACUGUGCCGGCUGACUUUGAGACAGAUGAAAGUGUCCUGAUGAGGAGACAGAAGCAGAUCAACUAUGGGAAGAACACAAUUGCCUACGAUCGUUAUAUUAAAGAAGUCCCGAGGUAGUCCUGUCUCAGUGGCACGUCUUGAACCAGCCACGUGGCAUGGCAUUACA